AUAUGAAUCAGCGACUACUGCCCUACCAUGCCUGAUAGUGUAUUUGACACUUGUCACUGAAGAUAGCGAUGCAUUAUCCAGUUUUCGACAAACUUGUAAUAGUCGAAUUAGACUCGGUUUGCUGAGCCAGAGAAUUGAUAUAAGCUGGAAGGAGAUAUUACUAACUGAGAGGAGUCUGCUCCAUUGGCAAUGGUUGCAUCUGUUCCAUUAGUUUCCAUUAGUUUAAUCUUCCAGUCUCCAGUUUUCCUUGCAUCCAUGCAUCACCCAAGAUGUCUUUCCACCUCCUGGAGCCUCUGAAACUCACCGGAGUCUGACUGAUUUAGUUGCCCAGC
rnacentral:sRNA from 1 species